UAGAUAAAGAAAUGUCGAAGAAAUCAAAGCCAAAUUAUGAAUUAUCGAAUUGAUUUUUACAACAAUCUAUAAAGGUUUUUUCAGUGUUACUAUUUUUGGAUUCAUUGCCAAUCAAUCAAGUAGUAAUCAAUUUAACUAUUAACAAAUAAACUACUUCAGGGGCUGUAGAUUUUGGUAAUUCAUAUUUAGUUAGGUUUUGGUAAUUCAUAUCUUGAUUCUAAAAGCCUGAGGGCUGUUGAAUGCAACGAAAUAAACAAUGCCAAAAAUGCAAAUGAUUUUGGCGGUGUACAUCCUGAUUUAAAAUGCCCAAAUGCUGCCCACAGUUAUUUAUCACAGUUAAUUAUCGGUUAAUAAAAAACGUUGGAAUUUCACUCGAUUCAAUUUAUUUGAU
rnacentral:lncRNA from 1 species